AAUUCCUUUUCUCCUCCCCGAUUCCAACUCUCUUCAUCUCUCUCGUUCGAAGCAGUGUCACCGCCGUGCCCACCCCGCCUCCUCCCCAACCAAAUCGAACCUCUAAACCAAGUACCACCGGCCGUCGCUAGCCUCCUCCUUUCCGAUUUUGAGGGUUGCCAUUCAGGAUGUAAGCUUGAAGGAUGUUUGGAUCUAUUGAAGCUAAAUAAGGGAGUUAGGUGAAUGCACGAUCUACGAGGAUUGGAAUAUCUACUUGACAAUGAGAUAGAGCGCAUUCUUCAUCGCAGAAGAAGAGUACAAUGUAGACAGCAAGUAGAAGUUUGGCCCUAUGUAUCAACAUCCAAGAAAUCCUAACUCUGUGGUUUCCAAUCAGAAGUUGAAAGAAAUAAUGAGGACGAAGUUGUUGGGAUAGCAGCAGUUCCUCCUUUAAAUGCAAUUCUGUUGGCUGACGACACAGAGAGAGCUAUAAGAGCGUAUGUCGCUCUAGAAUCCUAUGGCUUCAACCCAGUUAUAGAAAAACCAAAAAUUGAAGCAGAGACAUUUGAGUUGAAACCAGUAAUGUUCCAAAUGCUCCAAACUGUGGGGAAAUUUUACGGACAUGCUUUUGAUGACCCUCAUCUCCAUUUAAGGUACUUCAUGAAGGUGAGUGAUUCAUUUAACAUCCAAAGUGUAUCCAAGGAAGCGUUGUGGCUGAAGUUAUUUCCCUUUUCGUUGAGGGAUGGCGCUCAAAAUUGGUUAAAUUCAUUGCUCGCUGAAUCCAUUACAUCAUGAGAUGACUUAGCUGGGAAAUUUUUUAUGAAGUAUUUCCUUCCCAGCAAAAAUGCAAAGUUCAAGAGUGAAAUUAAUAAUUUCCAACUUAAAGCUUGGGAGACAAUGAGUGAAUCAUGGGAAAGAUUUAAAGAGCUAUUGCGAAAAUGCCCACAACAUGGCUUGCUUAGGUGCAUUAAGAUUGAAACUUUUUGUAAUGGACUUAAUGAGGCUAGAAGAUUGGUAGUAGAUGCAUAGGGAAAUGGGGCUUUGUUAGAUAAAUCAUAUAAUGAGGCAUUUGAUAUUCUUGAAAGAAUUUCUUCCAACAAUCAUCAAUGGUCAGAUUCAAGAGCUUCAUCUGGAAAGAACUUGAAAAGAAUACAUGAGAAUGAUGUACUGACAUCAAUUACUACCCAAAUUUCCAAUUURACUAACAUGGUGAAGAACAUGGUCGUUGCUGGAGCAUUACCUGCUAACACUAUAGAAGUUAUUUCGUGCUAGAUUGCUCCUAGUUAUCAUGUGAUUAGAGUGAGCAAGUGUAGAUGCAUUCUCCUUGUUUAUCUCCCGAUGACCAUUGAAAUUAUUGGAAUUGUCUCCAUAAUUGGCUAUUUGAUGGGAUUUACCUACAAGUUUAAAAUCAAGGAAUUGAAGAAUUUGUUGAGGGCAAGCCAAGUGCUUCUAAAGUUGUGAAAGUGUUGCUAGAGGAUGGCAGGGAGAUGCAUUUAUGCUGCAGCAUGAAGCCGCUUCAGAUGCUUUAGAGCGGGUGACUGUGCAGUAACUUAAUUGCACCAGUUUUACCGUGUCCGUACAGCCUCCCCGUGUUGCCCUAAUUUUACAAACCCGAUAUAAAUAGCAGAACAGUGUCCAGUUGCCAAAGAGAGCCCCAGAACAAAAAAAACAUUUUGGCAUCGAAUUUGGGGAACAUUCCCUAUCUUUUCUCAUCGAAGGAGAUGAAGGACAUUGGUGGAUUCUCCUUGGCGUCACCAUUUUGCUGCUGAGAAAGCUUCCAUUCUAUGUUGUCUUCUUCUCUGAUGGGCUUAAUUUCUUCUCUAACCACUCUUUUAUUUUUUUCUAGCAUGAACUAAACCCCAUCUUCGGGGGGGAUGAACUCGCUGUAUGUAACGCCCCGUAUCUUUCAGGUGGAGAGUUCAUUGGCGACCAUGGCGAUGGCGUAAAGGAGACAUGACGGAAGAGGACCAUAGGCUGCGUAGUGAUAUUUGCUUAGUUUAGGGUUAUGUGGUUUUUGCAUGAUUGUUUGGCAAUAAACUUUUGUUUCAAGUGAAUUGAGGGGAGAUCCCACCUAAUGUUUAAACUUGACUCGGAAUAAGUGUUUCUUUUAUUUUCUUCCAUUCAUUGAAAGCGUUUAGUUGUAAUAAUGGAUGUUGUCUGGUGGUGUUGUCCCGGGGGACGACGCUUGGAUGAUAGUUUAUAGAAUUGAUGUUUUAUUUUUGUUA